rnacentral:rRNA from 1 species
GAUGAACGCUGGCGGCGUGCCUAAUACAUGCAAGUCGAGCGAUGAGAGGAGGAGCUUGCUCCUCUGACGUUAGUGGCGGACGGGUGAGUAACACGUGGCUAACCUACCUAUAAGACUGGGAUAACUUCGGGAAACCGGAGCUAAUACUGGAUAAUAUAUUGAACUGCAUGGUUCCAUAGUGAAAGACGGUUUUGCUGUCACUUAUAGAUGGAUCCGCGCCGCCUUGGCUAGUUGGUAAGGUGACGGCUUACCAAGGCAACGAUGCGUAGCCGACCUGAGAGGGUGAUCGCCCACUCUGGAUGGGUGACACGGUCCCGACUCCUACGAGAGGCAGCAGUAUCGAAUCAUACGCAAUGGGCGGGAGCCUGACGGGGCAAGGCCGCGUAAGACAUGAAGGCCUUCGGAUCGUAAAGCCCUCUUUCUGGUGAAAAACCAAUCUCAAACUGACCACGCCCACCUUGACGGUACCUACUCAGAAAGCCACGGCUAACUACGUG